UUUGACGUUUUAACUGGGAGAUCUCUAAGUUAGUUGCUGUCAACAUUCCUAGUUCUCCUUUACAACUUUGCUUCUAUACUUGGCACGGAUUUCCACUGAGUAGAAAAGCAAGACUAGUAAUGAUAUCGAACUAUUCUUUUUUCUCUGCAUCUUUCCCCUACUGCAAUAUUAAGAGUAAUCUGGUAAGUUGUAGUGAAUUAAAAGUAAUUUAUCCUCUCAAAAAGUAAGGGUUAUUAUGUCAUUAACUUUUUUUUUUUUUUAAUGACUAGAGGAAAUUCAAAAGAACAAUGGACUGAUUGAGAAUUAAGAGAUCAGGAAGCUGGCCCUGCUUUGCCACUAACAAAAUGCUGAACCUAGUGACUCACUUCAAAUGAGCAGAAUAUAGUAAAUGGGAUGGGAUGUCACUUCCAAGUCUGUUUAAGUUGUAAACAGACUGUGAAUUCCCUCUCUGGCUUGCUUUCUCCAUGGCACACUCUGAGGGAAGCCAACUGUGAUGCUCUCAGCUGCCCUACAGAGAGGCCUGUAGCAACUAAUGCUCCCAGUGAACAGCCAGUGAGGAUCUGAGACCCUCAUUCCAACAGUACUUGAACAGGAUCCUGCUAACAGACAUGUAAAUGGACUUGGAAGUGGGUCCUCUCCAAAUUGAGCCUUGUGAUGAGACCACAGUCCAGCCUACACACUGACUGUGUAGCCUUCUGAGAGGCUCUGAGCCAGAGGGCCCACCUAAGCCAUCCCAGGAUUGCUGGACCACAGAAACUGUGAGAUAAUAAAUACUAGCUGUAUAAACCA